UUCCAUAUAGUACCCAAGCAUUGUUAUAUAGAUCAGGAGAAGCAUUACUCGCAACUAAGAAGUGAAAUUCAAUGAAGCAAUCGAAUUCUUUCACCACAAAACAACCCAAAAUCCUUCAAAACCCUAAAAUUGGAGGCAAUCUCAUUGAGUCAAUUACCUUAGGUUCAAAUUGCAUUCCCCAAACCUCAGAAGGAGGAGCUUCCAAAACAGCAAUCGUAGCAUUAGUAUCAACAUCAAACACACGGACAAAGCUAUCAAUCGAAGAAGAUGCUGCAAUAAUCCCAGAAGGAUGCGCAGCCAAAGCUGCUACUCCCAAAGAGUGUCCAGUAUUAGUCCGCACAAGAUCCAGCUCGUCCGGUCGCCAUAACUUCACCGUCUCGUCAAGAGAUCCAGUCAGAAGCAACGCCGGUCGAUCUUCCGUCGCCGGAACCCACGUCGCUGCCCAAACGGAAUCUUCGUGAGCGUUCUCGAUCGAUUUCAGACCUGCGAGUUUCAUUCUCUUUUUAGGUUUUUACUGUGUUUCCUCAAGUGAGCAAGAAGAAGCAAAAGACCCAAAUUUGAAACAGAGACUUUGAUUCUCGUUUUUUAGUUAUAAAAUAGAAACUCGCGUCGUUUU